rnacentral:rRNA from 1 species
AGCGAUGCCGCGUGUGCGAUGAAGGCCUUCGGGUUGUAAAGCACUGUCGAGGGGGAUCAAGGGGCAACCUUGUGUGAUCCCUGGAGGAAGGGCGGGCUAAGUUCGUGCCACCAGCCGCGGUAAGACGAACUGCCCAAACGUUGUUCGGAAUCACUGGGCUUAAAGGGCGCGUAGGCGGCGAAUCAAUUCAGGGGUGAAAUCCGGCAGCUUAACUGUCGAAGUGCCUUUGAUACUGGUUUGCUCGAGGGAUAUAGGGGUCUGUGGAACUUCUGGUGGAGCGGUGAAAUGCGUUGAUAUCAGAAGGAACGCCGGUGGCGAAAGCGACGGACUGGAUAUCUUCUGACGCUGAGGCGCGAAAGCUAGGGGAGCAAACGGGAUUAGAUACCCCGGUAGUCCUAGCCCUAAACGAUGGGUACUAGAU